GGAGGCGUCGCAUAGCGGCCUAGUGCGUGCGCUUGGAAAGCGCAUAUACCGAAAGGUAUCGAAGGUUCGAAUCCUUCCGCCUCCGCCA
rnacentral:tRNA from 1 species